rnacentral:rRNA from 1 species
CAGGUAAAAUAUAAGUGGAAGGAAGAAAAGUAGAAAGAAAGUGUGGGGCGUUUAAUAAAUGUAUUCGCCGAUGGUACUGCGUUGGUUAUCCCUUUGAAUAUACAUGGUAUUUUAGUGAGAAUAGAGAGGAUCUAUUAUUGUAAACGGUACGAAUUGGAUAGUAAUUAAAAAGUUCAGAUUAUCCAUAUCAAAUGCUUUAAAGAGGUCUGUGUAGGUUGAGAUGUCUUUCAGGAGGAGUGAAAACGGGCUCUUAUUUUGGACUCUACUCCAGUAUAGAAUAUUGAUAUAUUGUAGAAAUAUAGAUUAAGUAAUUGGGAAUGAGGGCGGAUGAAUAAAGUGCCAGCAUUCGCGGUUAGUCUUUUUGCCCCCAGCCAAUGGGUUCGUAUGUAAGUUAAAUUGGAAAAUAAAUAUUCAGACCCAUUAAUAGAAACGGUGAAAUGUUACUAUAGUAUGAGUUUAUAUGCGUGGUGUUUUAAGUUGGUUUAGAAAGUUUAAUCUGAUAAGGCUGUGUUUAAAGACAGGGAUUUGUACCCCAUUAUUUAGGCUAUCUAGAGAUGUACGGGUACUACGAGCAAACGUGCUUAAAAACCAAAAUGGUUGGCGGUGUUUCAAAUCCGGUUAGGGGAACUUGGCGAUUAAUUCGAUGAGCCUCGAACAUUUUACCUUUAGUUUUCUUUGCAUACCGCCGUUGAGACAAACUUUCGGGGGUCAAAGAAUUUAAACGCAAUAUAUAGAGAGUGUGAUGAUAAAGGUUUAGGGUUAAAGAUUGUCGUUUCUAUAAAAAUUCAGGUAAACGUGUAGGUUCUAAAGGGUUUAGCUGAGUUACAUUUUUUUAUAAUUACGGAUGUACAUAUUUAUAUUUGUAUUGAAGGUGUACUUGUUAGUAAAAUUUUAUAAUAGAGGAAAUUUGAAUGGAGUUAUGAAAUGCGUACAAAUCGCCCGGCACCCUUGAAUAACUAAAUUAAGGUAAGUCGUAACAUAGUAAUGCUAGUAGAAACUG